CCUACGGGGGGCAGCAGUGAGGAAUAUUGGUCAAUGGGCGCAAGCCUGAACCAGCCAUGCCGCGUGCGGGAAGAAGGUACUGUGAAUCGUAAACUUCUUUUGUCAGGGAACAAAGGCAGUUACGAGUACCUGUCUGAAAGUACCGUACGAAAAAGGAUCGGCUAACUCCGUGCCAGCAGCCGCGGUAAUACGGAGGAUGCGAGCGUUAUCCGGAUUUAUUGGGUUUAAAGGGUGCGUAGGCGGGCUGAUAAGUCAGGGGUGAAAGCCCGGGGCUCAACGCCGGAAGUGCCUUUGAUACUGGUGGGCUGGAGUGUGGGUGAGGUAGGCGGAAUGUGUGGUGUAGCGGUGAAAUGCUUAGAUAUCGUGCAGAACACCGAUUGCGAAGGCAGCUUACCG
rnacentral:rRNA from 1 species